rnacentral:rRNA from 1 species
UACAGAGGGUGCGAGCGUUGUCCGGAAUCACUGGGCGUAAAGGGCGCGUAGGCGGCUUGAUAAGCGUGCGGUGAAAUCCCGCGGCUCAACUGCGGGUCUGCAGUCGAUACGGGCAGGCUAGAGUUCGGUAGGGGAGACUGGAAUUCCUGGUGUAGCGGUGAAAUGCGCAGAUAUCAGGAGGAACACCGAUGGCGAAGGCAGGUCUCUGGGCCGAUACUGACGCUGAGGAGCGAAAGCGUGGGGAGCGAACAGG